rnacentral:rRNA from 1 species
UACGUAGGAUCCGAGCGUUUGUCCGGAUUUACUGGGUGUAAAGGGUGCGCAGGCGGACUUAUAAGUCAGGGGUGAAAUCUCACAGCUUAACUGUGAAACUGCCUUUGAUACUGUAAGUCUUGGAUCCGGGAGGGAGUUGUGGAAUUCCGAGUGUAGCAGUGAAAUGUGUAGAUAUUCGGAAGAACACCAGUGGCGAAGGCAGCAACUUGGCCCGGUAUCGACGCUCAGGCACGAAAGGCAUGGGGAGCAAACAGGG